UUGCCAAGAAAAAAUCAACUUGAUUUCAGUCCGCUGUUCCCUGAAUAUACCACGAUAGUAUCUAUCAUCAUGAACUUGUACAUAGCGGUUCUCAGUCAGUAACUCAGACUGCUAUGCACCAACCAUAAGAGGAUGAUUAUUCCUUUUGUAUUUGUCUGGCGACUAUAUAUUCACCCCUUUCGCACUUUGUCCUCUCAAUUGGUUUGAAACAUUUAGGGGAAAAUUUAAUGCUUCAGCAUUUUACUUCUUGGACUGAA